AGAUCUUCUUCUCCUCUGGGGUUUCACACACCAGAGGAUUGACAACAGCUGAGCCCUGAUUCAGUGGAUCACGGGCAACCAUCACAAAGACUGCUCGUGUUACCUGUCAGAUGAUCAUCUUAUAUUCGGCCUUUGAAGAGUGUUACUUAUUGGGUGGUCGAUUCCAUCAGUCUACUCCCACCUGUUUCCAAGCAUUAUCCACUCGCUGCUCCACACUGAUGAUGGUUUCCAGUGAGGAGCGACCUGCCCAA